UUGGAUCAUAGUGAACGUUCAGAAAUAAGUUCGGGAAUUGUUCAUUGUGAUCAGUCACAAAAAAUCAGUUCUAAAAGUUUAGCUAAAUUUCAAAUUUAUUUAGUGUGUUGGAAAAUAAUACUUUUCGCAUUUUGAGAUUGUGGGUCUUUCGAUUGUUAUCCUGAUAGAACAUGGUGUAUUUUCUUUGGAGUAUGGAACGUAGCCAUUGGUUUAUUUGGAUUGAUAACAACAAGCUUCAGUUUUAACAAUGAAUUGAAUAAACCUGUAAUACAUGGUGAACGCUCUAGUGAUAGCUGGGAUACUAAAAAGGGUAGAAGCAAUGCGCUAGUUAUCGCGAAUAUUAUAUCUCUUAUAAUUGUCAUAUUGCACAUAUUCUCUGGGAUAUUCAUACUUUUGGGAUUGUUCUUGGGAAAUAUAUGAGCCAUAUUCUGCCAUGGGCUUCGAUUCUCACGAUAAUAUUGCCAAUUGUGCACCUCAUAUGUUUAUUCAGGGUGUGCAGGUAUUACAAAGGGAUGUGAUGCAAUUUGGGAAGUGCGCGUGUGCGAAUUCAUUUUAUUUUUCCCUGCUCACCGUCUUAGUUCCGACAUAAGAAACGGAAUCGUUCACGUCGCCCUUACAAAAGUCGAUCACAUGUAGAUCAGUUGAUCUAAUAAACUCAAAAUUCAAUAUUAUUCAUUGCUUCAAGAAUGAGCUGUUCAUUCUUGAUUGGAUUCCAUUCAACAGGUCAGGUCUGAUCUACGUUUGCAUGGGCCAUCAAUCAGGUCAUCAAUUGAUGCGAUUAUCAUCAUAAGAAUUGGAGUUGUCGUAAACGCAAAUCGGUAUUAAGGACAAACCGACAUACCCAUUAACCCGGACCCGGCUCGUCGCCUGCCCAUUCCGGCGACAUCCACAAGGAUAACUUCGGGGCAACUUGAACAAAUGCAAAUAUCAUAAUUUCUAACGUCAUGUCUGCAACGUCGUAACCGGAACGGCAAUCAGUCAACCACAAAAUGUCUCGGGCAUUAAGGCAUUCUCGUCAUCAUUGGGGGGAGGGGAAAUGAAAUUGUUUUGCCACGCCACCGCGAAGGUUGCUGCCACAGUAAAAAUGAGGCAGGAGCACGCAAGACCCGACUCGACCUGCUCCGACAUCAGACUUAUUAAUUUACUCUAAAAACCAUACAAGAAAAUUAAUGGCAAUUUGCUUGGUUUCAUAAAUAUGUCGAAAUGAAUGUUCUUAACAAGUGAAUGCCGUGGCAGCAGCAAAGACAGAGACAGUGGCAGACAGUAGCUCAGGGAUAGAGCCCUUCCAAAAUCUGUUUCGUCUAGCCCCAUUCUCUGCCACCCCCCACACACCCCCCCUAACUGCUGCAUAUUGAUUGCCCAGGUCGAGGCUUCGGCUUUGUGGCCCCGCUCUUAUCAGCUUGCUUCUAAUUGGGUUUGUUCGGGUAGCCGCCCCCUUUCAAAACUCAUUUGGCGUUUUGCUGUACGACUCCGACUGUGCGUGACUUUGUCUCGAACUGGUUAAAGCUAUCCGCGGAUCGAGCUUUAAUUUCAAUCAAGUGCAAUUAAUUAAUCCGUUCGCUGCUCCGACCCUCUUGCCCUGUAACCCUUGGAUCAGCCGAGAGAGCUAGUUCGCAGCGCCAUCUAGUGGUCGGCACCGUAAUGCCCGUGGCAGAGCAUACACCCUCUAUGGGCUAGGUUUGGGAGGUCACAAAAAGGGGCAUAAGAAAGGGUGAUAGAUUUAACAGCCUAGAUUGUCAACUUUCUCUGGCAUUUCCCUUGUUCUAUGAGAGGGCCCGAGGGUUCUAGCAUGUUGAGGGGCUUGGCUUCGGUCUCUUUCCGUUUUGGCGCUCGACCCGAGCGUUCGUUUUCUUAUAUCGGCGUUAGUAUUUCCAAACUAGGACCGGCUAUUGGCGCAGUGUAUACGGCAAAAGAGGAACGCCGUGUCGCCGUAUUUUCAUUUCAAAACCGGCCCGGUUCAGCUUCACGGAUCCAAAGACGCCGAGGCGUCGAGGAGAUCGAGCGGCCGAGGGACGCAAAUGGGGUCCAGAGGAGCAGCCGAAGCAGCAGUGGAGAAUUUACAGGCCCAAGUACCCGGGCACCAACGACACGCUAGCGGGAGUUGAGUGGUUUUUGGAAGAAAAAAAAAACUCAAACGUCUGGUUGGAGAGCGAGCCAAGGAAGGGCUACAUAGCGUAGACUGAGCGCGAACAAGAACAGUCUGAGAUUUGGCGGGGUCUUUCGAGUGACGUCGCGAGUGAUCGUCGGAAACAGUCCGAUGGCGGAAGAUCGGAAAGAGAUCGGGAAGGCAGAAAUUUAAAAAAA